rnacentral:tmRNA from 1 species
GGGCUUGUAAUGGUUUCGACAGGGAUCAUGAAGCUGGAGAAGCGAGUCGCACGGGAUGCGUCAAAUUCCAAACUUAAAUAUAAACGCUGAAGAUAAUUUAGCAUACGCUGCCUAGUUGCAGCAGUCUGACCUAGUGCACCUACACAUUAGGACCCAGGCUUCGACUAUGUAGGAAACGACACCGGCUAAGCUUUGCACCGGCGGGCGUAUCAUGAAGCUACUGAAGCGGGCAUCCUGCCUAUGGGAGGUUCGCAGAGGGAAUGUUAAAUUAUAGGCUACACUCGUAGAAGGGCAGUGAAUUGGUUUUUGGACACGGGUUCGAUUCCCGUCAGGUCCAC